CAAUGCUGGCCCAAGAGUAGAUCUUUUGACUUCUUUUUGCAUUCAGCAACAGCUAACUCCCUGCUGAAGCCUGUUAUGUUGUUAAGCCUGCAAAUAUUUGAUGAAUCAAAGCAUAAUGAGAUAAUUUUUACUCCAAAUUAAGAAAAAAUAUGGAAGAGGUUGCACAAAUGCACUCUGCAGUUGGACAUGGGUUUGAGAAAGUCAAGUUCCUAGCUCUGGUGCAAGUUAAAAGAGACAAGAAAAAAAAAUGCUCCCCACUUCUUUUCUCUUUUCUCUAUUUGCCAGGGGGAGUAAUUCAGACAACACGUGCCUGAAGAGAGUGCUGGACUCCAGAUCAGCCCGAUGAGACUUGCAGAUGGUCAAAGCUGCCCUGGAAGUGCUCUUGGGGCAGUGCCAGGUCCCAGGCCGCACCUCUGACUCUCAGCCGCUUCUCCUUCCAUCCUUGGAAUGCAGUGCUGCUUCCUUGAGUACCAGACAAGAGGUCUCUUCAGGGCACAAAAGAGCUGCUGGAAUACCACUCAUCACAUUUGCAUUCCAAGAAAUCCUAGGAAACAGGAAUCCUGUACAUCUGUUCUUCCUUAUGAUUUUGAGCUUCGGUGAAUCUGCUGUUUCCUGGGAUUUUGAAACUGGGAGAGGUUGUUAAGAA